CUCUCCUCUCAAUCUACCUUCAGGUACUUAUGUAUGAACUGGACACAGUCGAAGUUUCCGAAGUCUAUCCAAUUGGUUAUUUUGAUGCUCUUCUCUACUAUUGCUUGGAGAUGUUGGAGGAAGCGUAAUGCUAGACUCUUUCUGAACAGAGCCACCUCGACGUGGGUAGUUGCAUCCGAUGCUUUGUCCCUCUUCAAAGAUUGGUCGAUCCUUUGCAACUCCAACCAGCUGAAGAACUUUGAUGCAAUCCGAUCAAAGAUCAAGCGAGUUACCCCCUCGCCAAAUUCCUAAUCCCACUACCUUGCUCCCCCAUCUGUUUUAUUGUAUUACUCCCUUAUCUCAUCCCUUCGUCUCCCUGUUGUCUUGUUCUAUACUAUGCGGCGAGCUGUAACAUUCUGAGUCUGUAGACUCUACUAGCUUUUUCUAUGUUGCAAUUUCAAUAAAUCUUUUUUGGUGGCCUUAGCCUCCAACUUUCAUCAAAAAAAAAAAAAUUCCGUUCAGGUUUGGGGGUAACUAUUCUCUGUCCAUUAUGGAAAGGGGUUUAAACUCUCUUAUUAUCUGAUUACCUCACACCUCUGGAAGCAUUAAAGUUAACUUUGAUGCAGUCGUCAAUGUGGAUAAGGUAUCAACUGGGUUUAUCAUUAGAAAUUCAGUGGAUGAGCUUAUCAAAGCUGAAGGUAAAUAGUUGCCCUGUUUCUUGGUACACCAAGGUGAGCUUACGGCAACUUGGAUGGGUCUCAGAGUAGUUGUUGUGGAUCUCAACGCAUGUAACAUUUGUUUGGAGGA
rnacentral:lncRNA from 1 species